rnacentral:rRNA from 1 species
GAUGAACGCUGGCGGCGUGCCUAAUACAUGCAAGUCGAGCGAACGGACGAGAAGCUUGCUCCUCUGAUGUUAGCGGCGGACGGGUGAGUAACACGUGGAUAACCUACCUAUAAGACUGGGAUAACUUCGGGAAACCGGAGCUAAUACCGGAUAAUAUUUUGAACCGCAUGGUUCAAAAGUGAAAGACGGUCUUGCUGUCACUUAUAGUUGGAUCCGCGCUGCAUUAGCUAGUUGGUAAGGUAACGGCUUACCAAGGCAACGAUGCAUAGCCGACCUGAGAGGGGGGACGGCCACAACUGAAACUAGAAAAGGGCCCGAACCCCCAGGGAGGGCGACGGUGGGGAAUUUUCCGAAAUGGGGAAAGCCCGAAGGGGGAAAGGCCGGGGAAGGAAUAAAGGUUUUGGAACCGAAAAACCCUUUUAUAGGGAAAGAACAAUUUGGAAAGAAACGUGGAAAAUUUUGAGGGACCCAAACCGAAAAGCCCGGGUAAAUAACGG